rnacentral:rRNA from 1 species
UACGUAGGGUGCAAGCGUUUGUCCGGAAUUAUUGGGCGUAAAGAGCUCGUAGGCGGUCUGUCACGUCGGCUGUGAAAACCCGAGGCUCAACCUCGGGCCUGCAGUCGAUACGGGCAAACUAGAGUACUGCAGGGGAGACUGGAAUUCCUGGUGUAGCGGUGAAAUGCGCAGAUAUCAGGAGGAACACCGGUGGCGAAGGCGGCUCACUGGCCCGUUACUGACGCUCAGGCGCGACAGCGUGGGGAUCAAACAGG